rnacentral:rRNA from 1 species
AAUCAACGCUGGCGGCGUGCCUCAGACAUGCAAGUCGAACGAUUAAAGCUCUCUUCGGAGAGUGCAUAAAGUGGCGCACGGGUGAGUAACACGUAAGUAAUCUACCUUCGAGUGGGGAAUAACGUCCGGAAACGGACGCUAAUACCGCAUAACGCAGCGGCAUCGCAAGAUGACAGUUGUUAAAGAUUUAUCGCUUGAAGAGGAGCUUGCGGCAGAUUAGCUUGUUGGUAAGGUAACGGCUUACCAAGGCUACGAUCUGUAUCCGGUCUAAGAGGACGGUCGGACACACUGACACUGAAUAACGGGUCAGACUCCUACGGGAGGCAGCAGUCGGGAAUUUUGGGCAAUGGGGGAAACCCUGACCCAGCAACGCCGCGUGAGUGAAGAAGGCCU